rnacentral:rRNA from 1 species
AGAGUUUCAUUCUGGCUCAGGAUGAACGCUGGCGGCGUGCUUAACACAUGCAAGUCGAACGAUUAAACCGCCCUCGGGCGGACAUAGAGUGGCGAACGGGUGAGUAACACGUGACCAACCUGCCCCGCGCUCCGGGACAACCGCUGGAAACGGCGGCUAAUACCGGAUACUCCGGGAGGGCCCCAUGGCCCUGCCGGGAAAGCCGAGACGGCGCGGGAUGGGGUCGCGGCCCAUUAGGUAGACGGCGGGGUAACGGCCCACCGUGCCCGCGAUGGGUAGCCCGGACUGAGAGGUCGACCGGCCACAUUGGGACUGAGAUACGGCCCAGACUCCUACGGGAGGCAGCAGUGGGGAAUUUUGCGCAAUGGGGGAAACCCUGACGCAGCAACGCCGCGUGCGGGACGAAGGCCCUCGGGUUGUAAACCGCUUUCAGCAGGGAAGAUCCAAGACGGUACCUGCAGAAGAAGCUCCGGCUAACUACGUGCCAGCAGCCGCGGUAAUACGUAGGGGGCGAGCGUUAUCCGGAUUCAUUGGGCGUAAAGCGCGCGUAGGCGGCCGCCUAAGCGGGACCUCUAACCCCGGGGCUCAACCCCGGGCCGGGUCCCGGACUGGGCGGCUCGAGUGCGGUAGAGGAGAGCGGAAUUCCCGGUGUAGCGGUGGAAUGCGCAGAUAUCGGGAAGAAAACCGAUGGCGAAGGCAGCUCUCUGGGCCGUCACUGACGCUGAGGCGCGAAAGCUGGGGGAGCGAACAGGAUUAGAUACCCUGGUAGUCCCAGCCGUAAACGAUGGGCGCUAGGUGUGGGGGGACGAUCCCUCCGUGCCGCAGCCAACGCAUUAAGCGCCCCGCCUGGGGAGUACGGCCGCAAGGCUAAAACUCAAAGGAAUUGACGGGGGCCCGCACAAGUAGCGGAGCAUGUGGCUUAAUUCGAAGCAACGCGAAGAACCUUACCAGGGCUUGACAUGCCGAUGAAGCCGGGGAGACCCGGUGGCCGAGAGGAGUCGGCGCAGGUGGUGCAUGGCUGUCGUCAGCUCGUGUCGUGAGAUGUUGGGUUAAGUCCCGCAACGAGCGCAACCCCCGCCCCGUGUUGCCAGCAUUCAGUUGGGGACUCGCGGGGGACUGCCGGCGUCAAGCCGGAGGAAGGUGGGGACGACGUCAAGUCAUCAUGCCCCUUAUGCCCUGGGCUGCACACGUGCUACAAUGGCCGGUACAGAGGGUUGCCACCCCGCGAGGGGGAGCGGAUCCCGGAAAGCCGGUCCCAGUUCGGAUCGCAGGCUGCAACCCGCCUGCGUGAAGCCGGAGUUGCUAGUAAUCGCGGAUCAGCGCGCCGCGGUGAAUACGUUAAAGGGGCCUUGCACACACCCGCCCGUCA